rnacentral:rRNA from 1 species
UACGUAGGGUGCGAGCGUUGUCCGGAAUUACUGGGCGUAAAGAGCUCGUAGGUGGUUUGUCGCGUUGUUCGUGAAAACUCACAGCUUAACUGUGGGCGUGCGGGCGAUACGGGCAGACUGGAGUACUGCAGGGGAGACUGGAAUUCCUGGUGUAGCGGUGGAAUGCGCAGAUAUCAGGAGGAACACCGGUGGCGAAGGCGGGUCUCUGGGCCGAUACUGACGCUGAGGAGCGAAAGCGUGGGGAGCGAACAGG